AGAACGACUCUCGGCAACGGAUAUCUCGGCUCUCGCAUCGAUGAAGAACGUAGCGAAAUGCGAUACUUGGUGUGAAUUGCAGAAUCCCGUGAACCAUCGAGUCUUUGAACGCAAGUUGCGCCCGAAGCCAUCGGGCCGAGGGCACGUCUGCCUGGGCGUCACAC
rnacentral:rRNA from 1 species